AGGUCCGGCCGAGUCUGUCCCAUC
rnacentral:siRNA from 1 species